UAACCGCAGAGCUGAGGCCAGUGCAGGCUCCUCUGCCUCCUACCGCCCAGGGCAAGCUUAGGAGGUGUCCUAAACCUGCCUAAAUUGCCAGGGCAACUGUGAGGCAAUGCACAGAAGCUCACUCGGCCACAGGGUGAUACAGUGGACCCACGCAGAGCCAAGGAAGCUGCACAGGGACAAGGGCUGAUGAUAUUGAAAGUUCAUAUGGAUCAGGAAAGAGCAAAAUCAAGCAUAGUGCUGCAACUGAUCUGGACGCUUCCUUCCUGAUGGCUGGCUUUCCUGAUGCUGGAAUGUGCCUUGCAGGUUCUGGGAGAGAAAAAUCAUUACAGGCUUAAGUUCCUGUGCUACAUGACUGACCUGCUGAGCAAUAUGCUACUGGAGUGAUAGUUUUAUGACCGUUAAGGGAAUAGUCAGCUGCUUUUGACUGAAUUUGAGGUCAGCUACACUUGGAAUUCACAUUCGGUUCUAGAAAGCUGUUCAGUAACCCUUGGCUGGGCAGCCACUAGGCCCUGCUGUGGAAGGUUCUACUGUUUUGCUAAAUGAGCACGUUGCACCCAGCAAAUUGCCUUCUAAAUAGUUAUGUCUAUGUCUACGUCUACAUAUUAGU
rnacentral:piRNA from 1 species